rnacentral:rRNA from 1 species
CUGCCCANGCAGAGAGACCAGCGAAC